GGAUCUUUGUGCAUAAAAUUAAACCAAGGAUGUUGAUACAGGAAUAUUAUCUUAGAGUACUCAUGUGCCCUAACCACAGUCAGGUCUCAUAAGAGAGCACAACAGGAAGAAUGUUUGUCUCUUCUCAGAAUUCACAGCAUAAUAGUGUGCAGCUCUGCAGUCAGAACUGAUUUGAAGUUUAUUGUUACCACUCAUUAACUAAUGUGACUUUGGAGGCUGAAGUGUCCUGCUUUAGGACCCUGAUGAAUGGAGGCUACAGCUGCCUGCCUAGGUUUGCACACCAUCACCAG